GAGUAAAUAGUUAAAAUUAAUAUAUGAUACUAGGGAAACUGAAUGAACAGUGCCAAAGACCUGCUGGCACCUGUUCAUUCAGCCACAUAUGAAGGGACUGGUGGUUCUCUGGUGGCAUUUGUUGUGUGUGCAACGUUGCUUCUUACACACGUGUCUUCACCUGCAAAAAGAGACUAAAGAAAGAAAGUGAGAAACCAGAUAAAAAAAAGUGCCCGAGCGGGUUCUAAACAAAGAGAGGCGGUGGCUCUAGGGUUCCAGCCGUUGGACCUGGGAACGACCACAACCGAUGGUGCCAGUGGUGGUAGCGAUUUGGGUUGACAGAGGAGUGACGACUUCCUUUUCAAGGGUUGGUAUUCCGGCGAGGUGUUUUCCGAUCUAAAUCCCGACAAUAUUCCGGGUUAUUCUAGACUACGACCAAAAUCCGGUGAAUAACGACGGUGGUUGUAACGGGUGAACUGCUGGCGAAUAAUAUCGGGAAUAUUUGAUUGAAAUGGUCCAAAUUUCUUUCCAAAGUCAAAAUCAAAAUCAAAACAGUGAGCGGCCAUAAACCACAUCGUUGCUUUCUCUCUCUAGAAUGAUUCAAAGAUGGCACAAGAAGAAGACCCAACUUCCACUCAUAGCAAUCGUCUUCUUCCUCUUCGUCCUCUGCACCAUCUUCUACAACGAAUGCCAGUUCCAAGAAAUCCACCGGAAAGAAAACCGGAAACCAAAUGAUAUCGCUACUCGGAAUGAUGUCAAGAAGACAUUUUCUUCCCUCAAUCGCAAUGGUUCGAAAGCUUCUGCAGGGACUUUGGAUAGAUUCAGCACCUACAACUCUACAGUAAAGUACAAUGGAAGAUCUAAUUUGAACGCACCUUUGCUUCAAUCUGAUGAACAAGAAAACACAAGAUUCGUGCAAUGUGUUUUCGGGUAUAUGGGUAUUUGACAACAUUUCUGUUCCGCUUUAUAAUGAAUCUGAUUGUCCAUACAUGUCUGACCAAUUGGCUUGUCACAAAAAUGGAAGACCUGAUUUGAUGUACCAAAACUGGAGAUGGCAACCUCAUGGCUGUGAUUUAAAGAGGUAAUGUUUGUUUCAACUUUAUCGAUAUUCAUAACUCGAUCAGAUAUAGAUCAUAAGUGUCACUUGAUUACAAUUUAGAAUCGGGCAUUAUAAAUAAGCUGGUUUGGGUUCUGUAUUAUGAUUUAAUCUCAAAUGAGUCAAAUAAGAAAAUGUAACUGAGGAAAUGAAUCAAAUGGGCCGACGAGGUCAAACAGAUCUAAAGUGGCCCAAGUGUAUUUUCAAUUAAUACAACCUAAAUUAUUAUUGUUUUGUAAUCACAUUUCAUGCAUUUAUUACUUCAACAUUUAUGUGUAAACUGAAAAUAUAUAAUACAAAAAACAUACUGUAACACCAAAAAAAAUAAAAAAAAAUAAAGCAAAAACAAAGCCAUCCAAUCUUCCACGGUUAUUUUGCGAUGAAAAAUAUGAUGGGGAAAUAGAAGAAAUGGCAAUACAGUACAUAUGUUCAAAAUAAAGGUUUUUUUUACAAGGGUGGCUACGGGGUAUUUAAGUUUUACCUAUGGUGGGUCCGGGUGAGUUUUCUCUCCAGGUCUCAAAUUCAAGUCUCUCAUUGAGGGGUUUAAAAUGUGGAUCUAUUGUGCGGGAAGAAGCCGGCAUUGAAGUUGGUGAAGUUCUCAACCAUGGCCGGGUGAGGAUAAAGCUUGAAAGAGGUUGUGAGGAGAGAAACGUGGGAAGAAGCCGGUAUUGAAGUUGGUGAAGUUCUCAACCAUGGCCGGGUGAGACAAAAAAGCUGUAAAUUUGGCAUAUCAUGUUAUUACAUUAAGAAUGAUUCAGUUUAGUGUGAUCGUGUUAUGAGUUGACGUAUAUGUUAUCAUACCAAGAAUAAUUUGGUUGAGCAUGCCGCAACGCGAC